UUAGGGACGGGACAUUUCUUAGAUCCCAGAGAGCCCUGCUCCAAGGAGAAGAGAACUCUUGUUACCUCCAAGCAUAUUUUCAAGCCAGGACUCUGGGUGGGGCUUCUGGGAGUGUGAGGCCCAGGGAUGGAUUGGCUUUCUGAGACAGGCCAAUGAAAGAGUCACAAAAGGCGUAUGAAGCCACUGAAGCCUGAUAUGGUGGAAACUAAGAGCAGAAAAAGGAAGACAAAACCCAGAGGACCAAAUAAAUGGUAUAAGGAUGCCAUGAAGCACAACUUCCAUGAAGCAACAGAAA